AUUGAACGCUGGCGGCAGGCCUAACACAUGCAAGUCGAACGAGUGGCGGACGGGUGGGUAAUGUCUGGGCAACUGCCCGAUGGAGGGGGCUAACUACGGGAAACGGUAGCUAAUACCGCAUACCAUCGGAUGUGCCCAGGUGGGAUUAGCUAGUAGGUGGGGUAAAGGCUCACCUAGGCGACGAUCCCUAGCUGGUCUGAGAGGAAGAUCGGCCACACUGGAACUGAGACACGGUCCAGACUCCUACGGGAGGCAGCAGUGGGGAAUAUUGGACAAUGGGCGAAAGCCUGACGGAGCAAUGCCGCGUGUAUGAAGAAGGCCUUCGGGUUGUAAAGUACUUUCAGCGGGGAGGCGUUACCCGCAGAAGAAGCACCGGCUAACUCCGUGCCAGCAGCCGCGGUAAUAC
rnacentral:rRNA from 1 species